UUUAAUGAAUAUUAUCAUCAGCACCACGGAUUCUCCAAUGCUUCCAUUGUGCAUUUUUGCAAGAUUACACCUCUCUAGCAAGAGCUGAUGAUGGUUUUUAGUUAACAAGAACAAACAGUUGCUCCAUGAAAGAUGAUCAUUCAUAUCAGAUGAGAGAGAGAGAGAGAGAGAGAGAGAGAGCUACAUGCACAUAUGACUACUCAUGACUUGCUCACAGAGGGGUUGCAAGCUUUCUUACAUCAGAGGACAUGCAUGCCAAGACCAUGAGCAAAACAAGUAUGCCCGAGGGAAGUAGGAGCACCACCAGACGUGGAGGAGGCAACGAAGGCAGCAUCACAGGAAGUAGCAGCAGUGAGGCAGCAAGGCAAAGCAGCAACAAGAAAGACUCGGCACUGAAGUACUUUGGAGGUGAAGCUCCUCUACACUCGGUUCUCGAAUCAGUUGUGAACCCAUCCUUCCUCGCUCUUCCUUCCAUUGCAGCAACCCAGCAAAGCUCGUCAAACUGGCCUUCUCGUGCACAUGGCUAUAUCUUGACACACAAAUAAGAGAUAUUAGAGCACCGAUCAAUGCAUGAAACAAUUACUAAGAGAAGUAGUGCCUUGGCGUCACUGAUGGCGAUGAAGAAGAAGAAGAA
rnacentral:lncRNA from 1 species